rnacentral:rRNA from 1 species
CCUACGGGAGGCAGCAGUGAGGAAUAUUGGUCAAUGGACGAGAGUCUGAACCAGCCAAGUAGCGUGAAGGAUGACUGCCCUAUGGGUUGUAAACUUCUUUUAUCUGGGAAUAAAAUGUUACACGUGUGGGAUUUUGUAUGUACCAUAUGAAUAAGGAUCGGCUAACUCCGUGCCAGCAGCCGCGGUAAUACGGAGGAUCCGAGCGUUAUCCGGAUUUAUUGGGUUUAAAGGGAGCGUAGGUGGAUUGUUAAGUCAGUGGUGAAAGUUUGCGGCUAAACCGUAAAAUUGCAGUUGAAACUGGCAGUCUUGAGUACAGUAGAGGUGGGCGGAAUUCGUGGUGUAGCGGUGAAAUGCUUAGAUAUCACGAAGAACUCCGAUUGCGAAGGCAGCUCACUGGACUGCAACUGACACUGAGGCUCGAAAGUGUGGGUAGCAAACAGGAUUAGAUACCCUAGUAGUC